AACAUUCAUUGCUGUCGGUGGGUUUAACUCUGAGGACAAGCUCACUGAACAAUGAAUGGAA
rnacentral:pre_miRNA from 1 species